CGCCAUUUGUGGUGUCUAAUAUGCGGAUCACGAUCAGUUCACCUUAAUUUCAAAUCCCUCUCUGCCAUGGUUAACGUACACCUUCCAUAGUUAACUAGGCCAUUAAGGUUUUGCAAGCUUUUACUGUACUGUCAACACGAUUUGUCGUGUGAGUGAGCUUGUAAAAUUUCAAACCAUAUCAGUGCAUGCGCAGAGUACUGACAACUUAGCACUAUCAUUACGUGCCUGGAUAUUAUCUUACUGAAAACCGCGAUCUUUUUCUGGGAAUUUCCACGUCUCCACCCGUCCAUAGACACGCCUACAUUCAAGACGGCUGCUGGUAUGUGAGACUAAUUGAAUCAGGCCGACAGUUAUUUUAACUGCGCAUGACGUCAUCAAGAAUAAAUACAGGCAAUUAUAAGUCAAACCGUGCUACGCCUCCCUGGAUUCGUCUGGUUCUGACUGGAUGUAACUGGUUGUUUGAACAACAUUAAUACCAUAACAACUUGUUACUGUGAAAGGAAGGUGAUGUCAGCUAACGACAGAGCCGAAAAGAAAAAAACAGAAAAAGAACCUUCACAAAAUACCCCACCAACAGUGGAUAUGGACCCAGAGGAAACUGUAGAAUUUCAGGCAGCCGUGGCGUUAAGCGAUGUUGACGCCAAUGAACCACAGAGGAUGCGACCUAAAGACGAAGGAAGAAAACCAGAUAAAGAACAAUGAUAUGCAGUAUAUUGCUCGUCAGCUUGUCGAUGACCGCGGUGUACUCCGGAAAAUUUCCCUUGUCCUGAGACAACCGCUACAAAAUAUGCACUAACAACGCCCCGAAUCAGAACAUUUUCUAUUUUGAGGCUAUGUCUACCAUCCGUAACUUUUGAAGGCGUCUUUGACAGAUUUUGAAUGAUGCGCGAGUGCAGAAUUCAACGAACAUAUACCGCGAACUAUAACUACAUAUGAAGCCGUAUGAACGACUAUGCCGCUGAGGGCGCCAAUCACACACUACCAGUGUUCAGUAGUAUACGUGCACAGUUUCUUUUGUGGUCUUUUCAUUUGCGAAUUUUUCAAUAAAAAACACUUUCUCACAUUUCGA